rnacentral:lncRNA from 1 species
CAAGAUUUUCUUGGAGAGCUGGAGACCCACCCUGCUCAUGAUGGUGGGGGGAUUUUUUUUUUUUUUUUUUACCCCACAGCAUAACAUUGGCCAAGCGCAAAAUCUUUUUUUGUUUUUCCCUAGACUCUAAGGAUACUGGUGAAUAUUAGCAUACUGGGCUCCAAGCUCUUAUUGCUUAUUUUCUGGAAUUGAACAUCAAUUGAUCUUCUGGAAGUGAGCCAUGCACUGGGGUGCAAUCUAGACUUUUAAAGAAAGAUGGAGAACAAAAAACCCAGGAGGAGCCUUUCCUUAGUCUAUCUGUGAGCCAUAAUAUUGUCUAUUUAUGUGUUUUUAAAAUAUACAGUGAAAAAUUAUUUCUGUAUUCAGUGAAAUAUAUUAGCGGUGUGAAGAAGGAGGAACUCACCACCGUACUUAAAAUUCAAUUAGCUUGGCUCCAGGCUUGGCGUAAGAUUAUCUUGCAUAGUGAUUUUUUUUCUCUCCUUAAAUGCUCACAUUUUAUUCUCAACCAUUAAUAUAAAUGUUCAUGAUGAAAGAUCAAUAAAUGCCCUGGAAACUUUUUUUUUUUAAUUAAAGAAAUUUUGC